rnacentral:rRNA from 1 species
UCCUAUUUCUCAGCGGCGGACGGGUGAGUAACACGUGGGCAACCUGCCCUGCAGACUGGGAUAACUCCGGGAAACCGGAGCUAAUACCGGGUAAUACAUAGCAUCGCAUGAUGCAACGUUGAAAGUUGGCUUUCGAGCUAACACUGUAGGAUGGGCCCGCGGCGCAUUAGCUAGUUGGUAAGGUAAUGGCUUACCAAGGCAACGAUGCGUAGCCGACCUGAGAGGGUGAUCGGCCACACUGGGACUGAGACACGGCCCAGACUCCUACGGGAGGCAGCAGUAGGGAAUCUUCCGCAAUGGACGAAAGUCUGACGGAGCAACGCCGCGUGAGUGACGAAGGCCUUCGGGUCGUAAAGCUCUGUUGUUAGGGAAGAACAAGUACCGUUCGAAUAGGGCGGUACCUUGACGGUACCUAACCAGAAAGCCACGGCUAACUACGUGCCAGCAGCCGCGGUAAUACGUAGGUGGCAAGCGUUGUCCGGAAUUAUUGGGCGUAAAGCGCGCGCAGGCGGUCUCUUAAGUCUGAUGUGAAAGCCCACGGCUCAACCGUGGAGGGCCAUUGGAAACUGGGGGACUUGAGUGCAGAAGAGGAGAGUGGAAUUCCACGUGUAGCGGUGAAAUGCGUAGAUAUGUGGAGGAACACCAGUGGCGAAGGCGGCUCUCUGGUCUGUAACUGACGCUGAGGCGCGAAAGCGUGGGGAGCGAACAGGAUUAGAUACCCUGGUAGUCCACGCCGUAAACGAUGAGUGCUAGGUGUUUGGGGGGUUCCACCCUCAGUGCUGAAGUUAACACAUUAAGCACUCCGCCUGGGGAGUACGACCGCAAGGUUGAAACUCAAAGGAAUUGACGGGGGCCCGCACAAGCAGUGGAA